rnacentral:rRNA from 1 species
AUUGAACGCUGGCGGAAUGCUUUACACAUGCAAGUCGAACGGCAGCACGGGUGCUUGCACCUGGUGGCGAGUGGCGAACGGGUGAGUAAUACAUCGGAACGUACCCAGUCGUGGGGGAUAACGUAGCGAAAGUUACGCUAAUACCGCAUACGUCCUGAGGGAGAAAGCGGGGGCCCGUACGGCCUAGCGCGACUGGAGUGGCCGGGGGCUGAUUAGCUGGUUGGUGGGGUAAAGGCCUACCAAGGCGACGAUCCGUAGCGGGUCUGAGAGGACGGCCCGCCACACUGGAACUGAGACACGGUCCAGACUCCUACGGGAGGCAGCAGUGGGGAAUUUUGGACAAUGGGCGAAAGCCUGAUCCAGCCAUUCCGCGUGAGUGAAGAAGGCCUUCGGGUUGUAAAGCCCUUUCGGCAGGGAAGAAACGGCUUGGGAUAAUACCCCGGGCUAAUGACGGUACCUGAAGAAGAAGCACCGGCUAACUACGUGCCAGCCGCCGCAGUAA